AAUGUUGUCCUACCCCUUCGAUUCCCGCCAGAAAGGGUUAGAGGAGAAAGGAGGGCUCUGAAACUGAAUCGAAGCUGGGAAAGAGAAAAGGGAAAUGGAGCUUAGCCUAUCAGGGAACAGUCUAAAAACCUUCGCCCGUUCAAUUACUUGUCUUGCUCGUGUUGGUAAUGAACUCUCCAUUCAAGCUUCUCCAUCACAGCUUGGAUUUCACACACUAAAUACAUCCCGGUCAGCGUACCAGUCUAUUACAUUGAAGCCUGAAUUCUUCGAUGUUUAUACAAUUUCUGAACCCCAAGUUCAGUGCAGUGUGCUUUUGAAGGCUGUUUGUGCAGUUCUGAGGACUCCAGUUGCGAGUAUUGAUCGCCUUUGUGUACUAAUGCCGAAAUCUGAUGCUUCAAAAAUGCAGUGGACUAUAGAUUGCACCAAUGGUAUAAAGAAAUCCUAUUGGAUUACUUGUAAUGUUGAGCCUGACAUACAACAUCUUACCCUUGAUAGGACGAGGUUCCCAAGUAAUUUUGUAGUGAGACCUCGUGACUUGAACAGAUUUCUUGGUAAUUUCCAGUCAUCACUUCAGGAGAUUACUGUGAUUGCCACAGAACCAACUCCCUUACCUUCUGAUGAUGAUAGUGAAAUAGGAGGGAAAGCAGUCGAGUUUAGAAGUUAUAUCGAUCCAACCAAAGAUGAUAGUGAUACAGCUUUACAUACUCAGCUCUGGAUAGACCCUUCUGAAGAAUUUCUGCAGUAUACACACACUGGAGAUCCCGUGGAUGUGACUUUUGCGGUGAAGGAGCUAAAGGCAUUUCUUACCUUCUGCGAGGGAUGUGAAGUUGACAUUCACAUAUUUUUUGAGAAAGCAGGCGUGCCUAUUCUAAUGGCCCCAAAAUUUGGUCUUGAUGAUGGGUCAACAUCAGACUUUGACGUGACACUGGUUUUAGCUUCCAUGCUUGUAUCUCAACUUCAUCCACAAAAUCCACCAGAGUGUCCACCAGCAGCAGACCCUGAGACAGGUGAUCGAGCGGAUCAGGGAACAGGUUCCGCAGCUCAGCAGGAGGGUUCAAGAGCUUGUGUUUCUGAGCAACCAUCAGAUCAUACCAGAAUCUGGUCAGAACUUUCGGGAAGUGCUGCCAGAAGUGGAAGUGGUGUUGAAGAGAGACAGGUUGAACCAAGAGCGAAUCCGAAUACUAAUGGAGAAAGCUUAAUGGAGAGGGUUACAGCAAUGGGUAUUUCAAACAGGGCUUCUGCAAGGGAAGGCACGCUUCCUGGCCGUGAUAUCAACCAUCUUCCGGUGGAAACAGCCUAUGUGCAAGCACCUCAAGGGGGAGAUGAAAUGGAUGGCCAUGGAUGGUCCCAACAUCAUCCUAGUAACUGGGUAGGUCCAGAUGAGGAUGACGAUGAGGAUGAGAAUGACAUGUUUGUUCAAUCAACACCUCCAUACUAGCAAGGAAAGCAACAGACAUAGGCAGAAGUAGUUAAACAACCACUUUAAAAUUGUAGCAAGCCUGACCGAGUACAACCGAAUUCCAGGGACCCAUUGUUGUUCCCUGUUAAAAGUAAAAGGGAAAAUUGGGAAACUGUCCCAAUUUGGACUGCAAUCUUGGAAAACUGCCCCAACGUUAAAAAAAGUUGGAAAACUGCCCCACUGUUAGAAAUCUCAGUUAACUCCGCGUGUGCGAGUUCUCACGUGCCAAAAAAGACAAAAAUACCCCGAACCGCUAAGAUGUUGCCAUGUAUGCGAAAGAUCUUACGGACUGAGAUGAAGAAGUAAGCACGUGACUCGCACGUGAUAUUCAAUGAAGUUCAUCUACGAGACGUGUCACCGUCCAGUCACGACACAUGUCACCUACGUGUCGACUUCUUAUGGUGAGAUGUGUCACCGUCACACGUGAUAUCUCACAUGGUUGUAAGUUCUGCCCUAAAAGAUAUCGAGAAGAUAUUUUCUUCUUUGUUUCAUUUAGAUCUAACCAGAGACGAGAGAGGAGAAAGAAUGAGAAGAAUAUUAGGUAAAGUGACUGGCACUACAAUUUCAUCUCGAUUGAACUCGAAAUUUUUUAACUGUUAAUGAUUAAGAUUUUUCUCUUAAUGUUACUGCGAUGAAAGAUCCUGAAGAACAACUUAGAGACGAUGAAAGUAUAAGUUUGAAAAAUUUGCAGUUUAAUUGGUCGAUAAACAAGGUAAUAUGGAUAGGAACAUCAGAGUUACUGUGAGCAAUGGAAAUAAUAAGUUUACACCUAUGUAUUUUCCAAAUGUUGUUGCUGGUAUUAGUGGUCUUGGGUUUAUACAAAUGGUGAAGGAUAGGAUGAUCAAAAUGGGUAUGGAAGAAAAGUUUAACCUUAUGUUGUUUGAU